UCGCAGGAGGAGGAGGUCAUGGACGGCUUCGCCAUACCCAGCUUCAGCACCCUGGAGGCCCUGAGAAAGAUAUGGCCCUGGAGCCACAGGAGCGGAAGGAGAAAUGGGAACGUCGCCUUAUCAAGAACCCCGGGAGUUGGAAACCUGCCUCCUUGCGGAGCCGAGUGAGACCAGGCGGACCCUGGAGGCAGGCAGCCCCCGGCAGGACCUCGAGCCCGCUUGCCAUGGGGCGAGGAAGGUCCCGCUGCAGUCCUCCAAGCAG
rnacentral:lncRNA from 1 species